CAGGGUAGGGCUGGAAAAGAAAGCCACGUCCUCCUUUACUGUAUCAGCAGUGAAUUUGCACCACCUUCUGGGAGCAUGCCUGGAUACACAGCUUAGGGACAAGAAACCUACGCUCACCAAGUGUCCACCAGCUCCUCGGCAAGGAGGGAGUAAAACGAAUUUUUUCUGCCACAACUUCUCUAGGCAUUUGUCUGGUCUUCUGCUGGAAAAUGUGGAUGUGGUUGUGAUCAUACUAGACCCUGGGAAUAAGGACAAACCUGAUGAAUGGUGAAGUGAGCAGAAAGAAAGUGGAUCCCAGAGGACUUUUCAGAGAGGAGCUUCCAGGCCAGCCCUAGGCUAUACAUCUGUGGACUUUGAAGCAAGAGAUAACUACUAUCUGUGUGGCUGGACUCAGACACAUCACGCUCCAGUUUGGGUUCCAAGGUGCUUCUCUCUGGAUUUUCACCUGCCUUGCCAAAAAUGAUUGAUUACGCUGGGCCAACUGGGUGUCCGGCAAUACCCAACAAAUGACUUUGGCCCCUAACAGCAGGUCUUGGCCAGACAGAAAUCAAUAUUUCACCAUUAAAAUCUAUCAAAGAAGAGUUAAGGCACCAUCUGUCCCUGCCGCCUCUCUAUGGUGUGUGAACAUUAAAUCCGACACUUGUACUACAUGGGUAAUCAAUAUAUAGUGGUUCACAGAUCAUUUGUGGUUCCCUUUUAGCAGUGAUGGAUGUCUGGAAUCGUUGUGAUUCAUUUUGUCAGACCAUUAAACAAGAUUCUGUCCA
rnacentral:lncRNA from 1 species